CACCGCCCGUCGCUCCUACCGAUUGAAUGAUUCGGUGAAAUGUACGGAUCGCAGCGAUGUGGGCGGUUCGCUGCCCGCGACGUCGCAGAAGUCCAUUGAACCUUAUCAUUUAGAGGAGGAGAAGUCGUAAAAAGGUUUCCGCAGAUGAACCUGCGAAGG
rfam:Nicotiana attenuata strain TT chromosome 7, whole genome shotgun sequence.